GAUGAACGCUGGCGGCGUGCCUAAUACAUGCAAGUCGAGCGAACAGACGAGGAGCUUGCUCCUUUGACGUUAGCGGCGGACGGGUGAGUAACACGUGGAUAACCUACCUAUAAGACUGGGAUAACUUCGGGAAACCGGAGCUAAUACCGGAUAACAUGUAGAACCGCAUGGUUCAACAGUGAAGGACGGUCUUGCUGUCACUUAUAGAUGGAUCCGCGCCGCAUUAGCUAGUUGGUAAGGUAACGGCUUACCAAGGCAACGAUGCGUAGCCGACCUGAGAGGGUGAUCGGCCACACUGGAACUGAGACACGGUCCAGACUCCUACGGGAGGCAGCAGUAGGGAAUCUUCCGCAAUGGGCGAAAGCCUGACGGAGCAACGCCGCGUGAGUGAAGAAGGUCUUCGGAUCGUAAAACUCUGUUAUUAGGGAAGAACAAAUGUGUAAGUAACUAUGCACGUCUUGACGGUACCUAAUCAGAAAGCCACGGCUAACUACGUG
rnacentral:rRNA from 1 species